rnacentral:rRNA from 1 species
UGCAAGUCGAGCGGACAGAUGGGAGCUUGCUCCCUGAUGUUAGCGGCGGACGGGUGAGUAACACGUGGGUAACCUGCCUGUAAGACUGGGAUAACUCCGGGAACCGGGGCUAAUACCGGAUGGUUGUUUGAACCGCAUGGUUCAAACAUAAAAGGUGGCUUCGGCUACCACUUACAGAUGGACCCGCGGCGCAUUAGCUAGUUGGUGAGGUAACGGCUCACCAAGGCAACGAUGCGUAGCCGACCUGAGAGGGUGAUCGGCCACACUGGGACUGAGACACGGCCCAGACUCCUACGGGAGGCAGCAGUAGGGAAUCUUCCGCAAUGGACGAAAGUCUGACGGAGCAACGCCGCGUGAGUGAUGAAGGUUUUCGGAUCGUAAAGCUCUGUUGUUAGGGAAGAACAAGUACCGUUCGAAUAGGGCGGUACCUUGACGGUACCUAACCAGAAAGCCACGGCUAACUACGUGCCAGCAGCCGCGGUAAUACGUAGGUGGCAAGCGUUGUCCGGAAUUAUUGGG